rnacentral:rRNA from 1 species
GAUGAACGCUGGCGGCGUGCUUAACACAUGCAAGUCGAACGGGAAACAUUUUAAUGAAGCUUCGGCAGAUUUAGCUUGUUUCCAGUGGCGGACGGGUGAGUAACGCGUGGGGAACCUGCCUUAUACUGGGGGAUAACAGCCAGAAAUGGCUGCUAAUACCGCAUAAGCGCACAGAGGCGCAUGCCUCAGUGUGAAAAACUCCGGUGGUAUAAGAUGGACCCGCGUUGGAUUAGCUAGUUGGCGGGGCAAACGGCCCACCAAGGCGACGAUCCAUAGCCGGCCUGAGAGGGUNAACGGCCACAUUGGGACUGAGACACGGCCCAGGACUCCUACGGGAGGCAGCAGUGGGGAAUAUUGGCACAAUGGGGGGAAACCCUGAUGCAGCGACGCCGCGUGAAGG